UGAAUAAUCUUUAAAUCGUCUUGUACAGC
rnacentral:piRNA from 1 species